rnacentral:rRNA from 1 species
UUUCAGUACAAAUAAUAUGCUGUCUAAGUAAUACAUCUAACUAAAGGACAAAAAGACCCUUUGAAGCUUUAUAGGGAUAAAACUUUGAUUGCAUUUUUUAGCUUAGGCCGCUCAAAGAUCUAUAUCUGAGGUGUGCCUUAAUAAAUUUAUUUAUUGGUU